rnacentral:rRNA from 1 species
AUACGUAGGGUGCAAGCGUUAAUCGAAAUUACUGGGCGUAAAGCGUGCGCAGGCGGUUUUGUAAGACAGUGGUGAAAUCCCCGGGCUCAACCUGGGAACUGCCAUUGUGACUGCAAGGCUGGAGUGCGGCAGAGGGGGAUGGAAUUCCGCGUGUAGCAGUGAAAUGCGUAGAUAUGCGGAGGAACACCGAUGGCGAAGGCAAUCCCCUGGGCCUGUACUGACGCUCAUGCACGAAAGCGUGGGGAGCAAACAGGAUUAGAUACCCUGGUAGUCCACGCCCUAAACGAUGUCAACUGGUUGUUGGGGAUUUAUUUUCUCAGUAACGAAGCUAACGCGUGAAGUUGACCGCCUGGGGAGUACGGCCGCAAGGUUAAAACUCAAAGGAAUUGACGGGG